rnacentral:rRNA from 1 species
UACGUAGGGUGCAAGCGUUGUCCGGAAUUAUUGGGCGUAAAGAGCUCGUAGGCGGUUUGUCGCGUCUGCUGUGAAAACCCGAGGCUCAACCUCGGGCCUGCAGUGGGUACGGGCAGACUAGAGUGCGGUAGGGGAGAUUGGAAUUCCUGGUGUAGCGGUGGAAUGCGCAGAUAUCAGGAGGAACACCAAUGGCGAAGGCAGAUCUCUGGGCCGUAACUGACGCCGAGGAGCGAAAGCAUGGGGAGCGAACAGG